UGGUGGAGUGAUUUGUCUGCUUAAUUGCGAUAACGAACGAGACCUUAACCUGCUAAAUAGCCAGGCUAGCUUUGGCUGGUCGCCGGGCUUCUUAGAGGGACUAUCGGCUCAAGCCGAUGGAAGUUUGAGGCAAUAACA
rnacentral:rRNA from 1 species